UGAACGUUCGCUCGUACUCAAGCUGGGUGUUUGGCUGCCCACGUCUGGGCUCCAUCUCCACUAUACCCUGUGAUGUUGGGAGAGACUGUCCCCAUUGCAAUCCCGUCACUACUUUUCAGAAGAAAACUCAAAAGGAAUUAGGAAAAAGGAAACAGGUUUGUCAUAAUUGUACAAAUUCAUUUUGACAAUAAUUUGGAGAUUGACUCAUGUGCCUCCCAGCUCCCUUAAUAAAAGGGUAACUGGAGAUGUAAAUUUAUGUGCAAGAGAAAAGGGGUUUAUUUUGCCUUUUUAAAAAAUUCUCUCUGAAUUUCAUUUUCUUCAGGUUCCCCUACAGCAAGUUGCUUCUCUGGCCAACCCAAAGGCUCUAAGAUUACUAUCUAUCUGAAUCACAGCAGGUACAUAAGCAGGGUCUGUUUCAGAGUACAAAUAAGGACAGGGGUUUGAUGGAUUCUAGAUCAAAAGGAUUUUAAUUUUCUUGGCAAUGAAUGACUAAGGGUUUAUUCAUUAGAAAACUUUUCUGACUAAAUGAACUUGGGUCAUGAUCACACAGAAAAGUCCAUCAAUUAAUGGAUUUCAGUAAGCAAAUUACUUAGUCUAAAGAUAUCUAUCAUUCACAAUGCCACAGCCUCACAGCCUGGCCAUCCUCAGACCCCAGAAGCCUGCUAAGGAGUAGAAUUACCUGCAAAAGGAUUUGAAGAGAGAAGCCCCUUCCCAACCCAAGAAGCUGAGCUGUGAGAAUUUCAUUCAGAGUGUUUCCUACUAUUUGAUUCUUCCUUCCUCCCUGUCUUGUAUUGUUUUUGUUCUAAACAGUAGCUCCACAAGCCAUGAACCAGAACUUGGGAUCCAUUCUAGAUUUUCCCUGCUUCCCCACAUCAAUGUCAACUCUUAGUUCCUGACAUUGUACAUGAUGUCUAGCUGUUCACCUGUCUCAACCACCUGCACUACUAGGGUUUCUUUAUGCCAUGUCACCACACUGGCAGGGGCUUUCUAACCAGCCCUGUCUCCAGUGUCACAAAGUAUUUCUUCCCAACUGCUUCCUCAGCAAACUUUCUGAAACCAAACUGCUCAGCUUCUUCUUGAGGAAGAAGGUGUCCCAUUCCUACUCCAUGAUCAAGUCCAAGCUCUUCAGUGCAGUCUUCCAAAGUGCAGCACACUUCUGGGACAUCACUGCAACAAAUUCUGUGUACUCUUCCUACAUCCUGCAAACACCCAAGACUGUGCAGUCACAGCACUUGCCAAAUGGCCCUGCUCUGUGACUAUGGAGCCUGGAUGGAAAAUGAGUAGGUCCGCUUCUAUGCUCUUCCACUUGCUUCUCUCCCUGCUCAGCUUACCUCUACCCCACCCCAUCCCUACCUCCAACAGUCCUCCCCUCUUGGAGACUAGGGCGCCUUUGAAAACCUUCCCAUCCUGCUCAAACCAACACGAUCUUUUCUGCCCCUUCAUACCCAGCAAAGUAUUGUAAUUAUUGCUCUGAAUUGUAAAUAUGUACUCCCCUGAACAUAGAGUUUGUGCUUGAUAUCUAUACAUCCUUAUGCCUAGCAUAGCAUUUGGCAUAUAAGAAGUGUUAUGGAUUAAAUUGUGUACCCCCCAUAAUUUUUAGAUUGUGUGACCACAUUUGGACAAUAGACCUGUAGGGAGGUACUUAAGAUAAAGUAAGAUCAUAAGGAUGGGGCCUUAAUUAGGGGGACUAGUGACUCCUUAAUUCAGUAGGACACUAGUAACCUUAUAAGAAGAGGAAUAAAUGCUAGAUCUCUUGAUCUCUGUCUCUGUUUUUCUACACACACACACACACACACACGGAAGAGGAGGCUCACAGAGGCCAUGUGAGGACACAGCAAGAAGACCUCACCAGAAACCAACCCUGCCAGCAUAUUGACCUUGGACUUCCAGCCUCUAGAACUGUGAGAAAAUAAAACGUUUAAGCCGCCAGUCUGUAGUAUUCUGUUAUGGCAGCCCCAUCCAACUAAUAGAAAAAGCAUGCUUUGAAUUCUAACCUCAGUAAAGCACUG
rnacentral:lncRNA from 1 species